ensembl:lncRNA
UCCCUUUGUCUUUGAGCUGACCCCUGCCUGCCGGGACGCCGCGUCCCCGCCGGACCGGGGCAGCGCCUGCCCCUUUAACGGCUGCCUCUCAGCCUACCCUGCUGCCCACGCCCAGCCCGGCCCGCCCGCGUUCAUUGGCUGCGCGCCGCCGGGGGCCCCGCGGCCCCGCGCGCCCAUUGGCUGGCGCCGGCGGCGCAACCUCGCCGUCCACUUCCUGUUGUAAAGUUACCUUGAGAGGCGGCCGCGGGGUCAGAGCGCGUCCCGCCCGCCGCGGGGGGCAGCCGCGUCCCGCCGCCCGGGACYGUCCGCAGCCGCGGCCUGCUGAGCCUCACCGCCCGCCCCGCCGGCCCCUAUUGGCUGCCCGGCUCCUAUUCAAACAGCCGGGGGGGGGGCCGUGGCGCGGCUCCCGAUUGGCUCGCCAGGCUGUCACUCCUGCAGCCCCCCCCCCCCGCGCCGCGUCACGGGGCGCCGAGCGCACCGGCGGGUCACGGGGCAGCGCGCGGGCGUCGGCGGCGCGGCACGUGCGGGGACGCACGCGGACACACGCUGCGCGUGGGCACGCGCCAGGUGCCUGCGCUUACUCGACGUGCAUGUGCACGCACGUAAGGUGCACGCACUUGCACGGGCACACACACGUGCAAGGUGCAUGCACUUGCACGACCUGCAUGUGCACACGUACCAGGUGCGUGCACUUGCACAUCAUGCAUAUGCACAUACAUAAGGUCAGCGCCAGCCCUGGCGCUCGGUCCUUCCUCUCCCUCUUGCCGGCUGCCGCCCUCCGCUAYGUCCCUCUUCCCCCUUCUCUCCUCCCAGCGGAGCGUUUGCACACGCGGGUCGGGGGGUUGGAGCGGCCCCGGGCACCCGCACGCUCCCCGGCACCCUGCGGAAAGCCGGGGGCAGCGAGGGUGGGCACCGCCACCCCCAGAGCAGCCAGGCUCUCCGAGCCYGGUGCUAUUUUAGGGAUGGACAGAGUUAAAGUCAGCGAAGGAGGGUUUCCUCAUGGCACGUGGCUGCCAUUUCAGCCGUGGUGCGCAGGCUGCAGAGGCAACGCAGGGAACGCGCUGGAGGAAUUUACCACGAGUAAAAAGAGACGCCGCUUGGAGGAAAAUUAGUGUUUGUAUUCAGAGAGCCAAGGUGAUUCCAAGGUCAAAGCGGGAGCCRGGACUGCGUCUCUGUUAAAACUUUCUCGUAUGGGAAGAACCAGGGCACCGAGUGCCCCGUCGGCCCCGCGUUCCCGCUGGGAGGGUCGCGCCCGGACGCCAGCGGCAGCCAAGAGCCUGCUUCCCUCCGGGCCCCAACGCCAGGUGCUGUGCAUGCGGCGCGGUCCGGAACRGUCCUGGCCCCAAGGGACUCGCAGCUUCGGGUGCCGACGGGCAAGCGGGGCGGUAGGACCAAACGGGCGCUUCCCGGUCGGCAGCUCACGGGGGCUGGGGACACCAGGAGUGCGGGAAGGCGACUGGGAUCGGAGCCGGGCCUCGUCCCCAUGGGAGGUUUGUGCGUUCGCUGGGAGCACCCCACACGUCCCGAAGAGGCACAUCCCGCAGCCAGCCAGGCCGAGCGGGGGCCGGCUGGUGGCUUUUGGGGUCUGGUUGAUAGGUGUAACAUCUGGCUGGCAACUCUUGGGGUCCAGCUCAUGGGAACCGGGUCCAGCCAGUGGCUCUGGGGGUCUCGCUGGUGGGAAUGGGGUCUGACCAGUAUCUCUUGGGGUCUGGCUGAUUUGGAGCAAGGUCCAGCGGCAGCUCUUGGGGUCCGGCUGGUGGAAGAAGGGUCCAGCUGGCAACUCUUGGGGUCCGGUUGAUGGGCGCAGGGUGCAGCUGGCAGCUCUUGGGGUCCAGCUGGCAGCUCUUGGGGUCUAGUUGGUGGGCGCAGGGUGCAGCUGGCAGCUCUUGGGGUCCGGCUGGUGGCUCUUGGGGUCUG